UGAACGCUAGCGACAGGCUUAACACAUGCAAGUCGAGGGGCAGCGAGGGAGUGGCAACACUUCCGUCGGCGACCGGCGCACGGGUGAGUAACGCGUAUGCAACCUGCCCUUCACAGGGGGAUAACCGGGAGAAAUUCCGACUAAUACCGCAUACGUCCUCCGGGGGCAUCCCCGGGGGAUGAAAGAAUUAUCGGUGAAGGAUGGGCAUGCGUGAUAUUAGGUAGUUGGCGGGGCAACGGCCCACCAAGCCCACGAUAUCUAGGGGUUCUGAGAGGAAGGUCCCCCACAUUGGUACUGAGACACGGACCAAACUCCUACGGGAGGCAGCAGUGAGGAAUAUUGGUCAAUGGACGAGAGUCUGAACCAGCCAAGUCGCGUGAAGGAAGACGGAUCUAUGGUUUGUAAACUUCUUUAGUGCGGGAACAAAGCGGCGUCGUGACGCCGGAUGAGUGUACCGCAAGAAUAAGCAUCGGCUAACUCCGUGCCAGCAGCCGCGGUAAUACGGAGGAUGCGAGCGUUAUCCGGAUUUAUUGGGUUUAAAGGGAGCGCAGGCUGCGAGGCAAGUCAGCGGUCAAAUGUCGGGGCUCAACCCCGGCCUGCCGUUGAAACUGUCCUGCUAGAGUUCGAGUGAGGUAUGCGGAAUGCGUUGUGUAGCGGUGAAAUGCAUAGAUAUGACGCAGAACUCCGAUUGCGAAGGCAGCAUACCAACUCGCGACUGACGCUGAGGCUCGAAAGCGUGGGUAUCGAACAGGAUUAGAUACCCUGGUAGUCCACGCAGUAAACGAUGAAUACUAACUGUUCGGAGGGCGACCUACUGAGUGGUAAAGCGAAAGCGUUAAGUAUUCCACCUGGGGAGUACGCCGGCAAACGGUGCAACUCA
rnacentral:rRNA from 1 species